GAUGAACGCUGGCGGCGUGCCUAAUACAUGCAAGUCGAGCGAACAGACGAGGAGCUUGCUCCUCUGACGUUAGCGGCGGACGGGUGAGUAACACGUGGAUAACCUACCUAUAAGACUGGGAUAACUUCGGGAAACCGGAGCUAAUACCGGAUAAUAUAUUGAACCGCAUGGUUCAAUAGUGAAAGACGGUUUUGCUGUCACUUAUAGAUGGAUCCGCGCUGCAUUAGCUAGUUGGUAAGGUAACGGCUUACCAAGGCAACGAUGCGUAGCCGACCUGAGAGGGGGAUCGGCCACACUGGAACUGAGACACGGUCCAGACUCCUACGGGAGGCAGCAGUAGGGAAUCUUCCGCAAUGGGCGAAAGCUUGACGGAGCAACGCCGCGUGAGUGAUGAAGGUCUUCGGAUCGUAAAACUCUGUUAUUAGGGAAGAACAAAUGUGUAAGUAACUAUGCACGUCUUGACGGUACCUAAUCAGAAAGCCACGGCUAACUACGUG
rnacentral:rRNA from 1 species